UGAUGUUGCUGAAGAUGACCCUGAGCUGGU
rnacentral:piRNA from 1 species